UUUAAUGCGAUGUGUUGUUCAUAAGGAACAGCAAAGAGUGAGCACAUGCACUCCUCUGCACAGGAAACUGCAGUCCCAGAAGCUUAAAAAAGAGAGAGAAAGAGAGGGAAGAAUCGGGAAAUCGAAGGGAAUGAUUAUGGGAAUUGAAGUAGGAAGAUAUGAGAAUCUUGCCGUGUUUAAUGCGUGUAUUUCCUUCUUAUUAUUUGUAGUUACCAUAAUAUUCGUUGCUCGAUUGAUCUUUCCAUUACUUUCCUGAUUUCGUUUCUCAUUUCUUCUUCCUUAGCCAGAUCCACCGCCGCCGUAGCUUUCUCUGACACUCCAUCCUCUUGCUGUCUGCUGCGCAUUCCGUUUGUACUCCGAGGUUUUGCAUCUUUUCAUUACUGUCUGUGGGCCUUUUGAAAGGGUGUCGUCUUUUUUUUCUGCCCCUUUUCAGAUUUAUGGUUUAAAACUUUAAAUUAAGCAGAAGGAUUCGAAUGGGUCUUUUUUUUAAAAAAAAAGUUGUGAUGAUGUAAUCGACUUCAGACUGAAACUAGAAAUGUAAAUCAAAUCAAACUUGUGCUGUUUUUGUUGUUGUUGUUGGG
rnacentral:lncRNA from 1 species